CGGAGGAGGCAAGCGUUGUUCGGAAUUACUGGGCGUAAAGGGCUCGUAGACGGCCAACUAAGUCGGACGUGAAAUCCCCCGGCUUAACCAGGGAACUGCGUCUGAUACUGAAUGGCUUGAGUUUGGGAGAGGGAUGCGGAAUUCCAGGUGUAGCGGUGAAAUGCGUAGAUAUCUGGAGGAACACCGGUGGCAAAGGCGACAUCCUAGACCAACACUGACGCUGAGUGAGCGAAAGCCAGAGGAGCAAACGGGAUUAGAUACCCCGGUAGUCCUGGCCCUAAACGAUGAAUGCUUGGUAUGGCAAGUAUCGAUCCCUGCCGUGCCGAAGCUAACGCAUUAAGCAUUCCGCCUGGGGAGUACGGUCGCAAGGCUG
rnacentral:rRNA from 1 species